UACAUGCUAAUAUAGUGUUGCUGGUCCUUAAUGAAACUGAUAGUUUUAUCGUGAGCCCUUGUAUGUCCAUUGCAUCAUUCAGUACAGAAGAAAGAAUUACACUGCAAUUAACCUGUCCAUCUUGAUGUCAUAUUGUCAUGCAUACUAGAACUAAGAGUGUGACAUCAGGGCAUUCUACAAAUGCUUUCAAAUAUAUUAAUGAAGAGUAUAUUUGCAUGCCCUAUAUGUUUAUGUUCUCAAUUGCCAUUGCAGCUUUCAAUGCAAUCCUGAGUCAAUCUAUCUUUCCAUGAAAAAAGGUUCUCUUUUUUGCCAUGAAGAUGAUAUGAAGCCCCAAAAUUCGUUAAACAUCUUUUUUGGUGGAAACAAAUCUGGAAUUAACGUGUUAGUCACUGUUGAGAUUGCAGUUUUGAUCUACUCUGUUUAUUUGCUUCCUCUAAGCUGAAACUCUUCAUUCUCCUGCAGUAGCUUUGUUUGUAAGAUAUUAACUGUUGUGAAAGCAGGUCAUUGUUUACUAGUAGUCUGUAUCAGUUUUUUCGUUUAUUUUUCUCUUAUAUUCUUGGAUGGCCACUCGCUGAUACUUUUUCUCAGAGCAUCUUUUGUCAAAACUUAAUACUUCAGUAGUUGGCUAGUAGCAUUUUGUUGACAGCCUACCCAUCUAGCACUACUUAACGGAUAUUUCAAAGACCCUUGUAUUUGUACCGGAUACACAAAAUGAUGCUUGUAUGGUAUGGUUCCGAAAAAUAGAGGGCAUUUCAUACACUAUGAAGGAACUUAUGUUAAGGUAAUCUUAAAAAGGGUCAUGGCAUUAUCAUGUUAUUCUCUGCCAUACCUGUUAACUAUUUUUGUUCCAUAUUAGCACUAUUUAUAUAGAUGCUAGGAUAUCUUUAUGCCUUGGCAUAAUUUUGUAGGGAUAGUCAGGUAGAUCUAUGUACUAUCCUCUGUUUUAUUUUUUUUUUGCAUUUCUAGAUGCUCUUUUAUAUUUGCUUCAGUUGUGUUGGUUACAAUCUCUUCUGAAAACAUGUAGGCUGGAAUUGGAGAAAAGAGAAUGAAGAUGUCGAAGACUGUUACCUUAGCAAAGAGAUUGUACCAGAGAUGAUUAACCAAGCUUGGUCUUAACAUUUAAGAGAAUGCAGUAUUAUUUCUCUCAGUUAUAGUGAAUGUCAUCUUUUCGUACACUUUUUUCAGUUAAAUCUCAGUCUAUGUAUGCUAGUACUAGCUGUCAGAUAAGAUAGUGAGCGUAGUCCGUAGUUAUAGAAUCUUGGAGAAUUGCAAACACAGAAACUGUAGACAUGCUGGUCUACGAUGUGUGAGGAGAGGAUGGUGAUCAUAUGUUUAUUCCUGAUGUUAGGCUGUAGAAAUUGGAAUAAAUGAGAUCACAGCUGUGUGCUUGCAGUAACACAAAGGAGAUGGGCACAUGCUAUUAUUGGCGCAGAGCUCUGAUUUGAAAUGAAGAUCAGUUGUGUGUUUCUUCUCUAGUACCUAGUUUAGCCUGUGGGAAUUAUAGAAAUAAUAUUAAUGCAAUGAAGGCGAGGGGAAGGAGUCUAUUAAGGAAUGAAGUGACUUGCCAAGUGAGUAUGAUUUUUUUUAAAGUAGUUUCCUUGAGACCUUGAGUAAGAAUUGGAUGGGCAAUAAAGAGCAUACUGACUGAUUUACUGAAUGUUGUAGAUUCAUGGGGCUUUCUUACUUUCUUGAGAAGAAGUGAUGAAACUAGAUAUAGAUGCUUAGUUCUUUCUUCUUUCAGGAGAUCGACCAAGCAUGGUGGCUGGGGAUUUGCUAUACUACAGAUGAUUCUGAAGGCUCUGUUAGUUGAUGAUGCCUGAGACUUCCUUCAGUUACAAGAAUUUGGUGCAUGGAAGCAAGCAGAGGGCAGUUAUGGAUAAAGUUGAGCAAGCUAACUGACCGCAGCCAGGCUUCCUCUGGAUGUGCACAUUAUGCUCUGCUUCCAUGCUUUGUAGGCUCCUACGGGCAUUGACCUGCACUUCCACUUCCUCAUGACAAGUGGACACCUUCUUUGACUAGGUAUGCGCUGAAGUUUAUUCCCUUUUUUUCUGCGAUUUCCAGGCUGUGGCUGCAUACCUUUUUGAAAUCCUGAGCAAUUUCUGCAGUACAAGUGCGGAGUGGUAAUUGAAAUUCAAAUUGAGUAAAGUUUGUUGGAAAAUUCUGAGCACUUAGUCUGAUGCUCUGAUUCAAAUAGAAAUUUCAGAUGCAAAAUCAUUCUGAUGCGCUGAUGCAAAAUCAUUCUGCAGUAUAACUCUUGUAAUUAUUCUGAUGCUCUGAUGCAAAACCAUAAACACUGUCAGAGUACAUUGAUCUCAAGCCACCAACACUGGAACUGGAUGCACCCAUGCCCGCACCAACUGAUGCCAAGGAAGUACCCUUACUUUCAGAUUCAUACCUGUUCAGGAAGCAAUGUGUUGAAAAAUAAGAAUAAAAAUGGUUGGUGCCAAUCCCUAGAGGCGUCCGUUCAAUCAUCUCUUGAGUAGGUAGGGAGGUGUCCAUGAACACAUACUCCAAGUAGACUCUGUCCAUGCAAAUGAGCCAAGCAAAAUUACUGGUUUUCAUUGACAAGUCAGACUUGACAGUACUUACAGUACAAAUCAGACCUAACCAAUUCUGCUUACUGUAAACAAUUAUUCAGAAAUUAACACUGCUGUAACUUGCUGUACCCUCAA